AAUGAGCGUUGGCGGCGUGGAUUAGGCAUGCAAGUCGAGCGCGAACCCCGCAAGGGGUGAAAGCGGCGAAAGGGAGAGUAACGCGUGGGUAUCUGCCCUCGGGACUGGGAUAGCUGCGGGAAACUGCAGGUAAUACCAGAUGACGUCCCCGGACCAAAGGUGUGAUUCCGCCUGAGGAUGAGCCCGCGUCCUAUUAGCUAGUUGGUAGGGUAAUGGCCUACCAAGGCAAUGAUGGGUACUGGGUGUGAGAGCACGACCCAGCUCACUGGGACUGAGACACUGCCCAGACACCUAGGGGUGGCUGCAGUCGAGAAUCGUCGGCAAUGGGCGAAAGCCUGACCGAGCGACGCCGCGUGUGGGAUGAAGGCCUUCGGGUUGUAAACCGCUGUCAGAGGGGGGGAAUGGGCGGAGGGUAAUCUCUUCGUUUUGACCUAUCCUCAGAGGAAGUACGGGCUAAGUUCGUGCCAGCCGCCGCAGUAA
rnacentral:rRNA from 1 species